CUCGUAGGCGGCCACUCAAGUCGAACGUGAAAACUCGGGGCUCAACCCCGAGCCCGCGUUCGAUACUGAGCGGCUAGAGUCUGGUAGGGGGAUCUGGAAUUCCUGGUGUAGCGGUGGAAUGCGCAGAUAUCAGGAGGAACACCGGUGGCGAAGGCGGGAUCCUGGGCCAGUACUGACGCUGAUGAGCGAAAGCGUGGGGAGCAAACA
rnacentral:rRNA from 1 species